AGGACGAACGCUGGCGGCGUGCUUAACACAUGCAAGUCGAGCGGAAAGGCCCUUCGGGGUACUCGAGCGGCGAACGGGUGAGUAACACGUGAGUAAUCUGCCCCUAGCUCUGGGAUAGCUCCGGGAAACCGGGAUUAAUACCGGAUACGACCACCUUAGACAUCUUUUGUGGUGGAAAGAAUUUCGGCUAGGGAUGAGCUCGCGGCCUAUCAGCUUGUUGGUGGGGUAAUGGCCUACCAAGGCGACGACGGGUAGCCGGCCUGAGAGGGCGACCGGCCACACUGGGACUGAGACACGGCCCAGACUCCUACGGGAGGCAGCAGUGGGGAAUAUUGCGCAAUGGGCGAAAGCCUGACGCAGCGACGCCGCGUGGGGGAUGAAGGCCUUCGGGUUGUAAACCCUUCAGCAGGGACGAAGCGAAAGUGACGGUACCUGCAGAAGAAGCGCCGGCUAACUACGUGCCAGCAGCCGC
rnacentral:rRNA from 1 species